GUGUCUAAAAAUAAGGGCCACUUUCCCAGAACCCAACACUGACGUUUGCGAUUUUUACGGUUUUCUGGGGUUUCCCGAAAAAUCAGACCAACGGCGGAAACGAAAAAAAUUGAAAAACCUCCUCUGGGUUUUAUUUGAUUUAACGUCCAAAAAUUGCGUGGGUUUUCGGCAGUGUUUGUUUGGUCACCUCUUCUGGGAAUCAGCGAUAAAGCCCAAUUAGUGCUAACGCAAAUGUGGCGUUUACAAACAAAUUAUCGUCGUAUUGUACCGUAGCAAAGACGUCGUCGUGACAUUGGCCUUACGUCUGUGGAUUCCCUCCGAUGACGUUCUCGCCGGCCGUAUAAAAGCCGGCAGCUUGAGCUCCCGACCAUAAACAAACCAACUCUCAGAGCAGCAACAGUGAUACAAAAAGUGAAGUGAAAAUGUACACAAAUCCGUUCAACCGCACACACUGCACCAUCCGUCAAAUCAUUGACAAAUUCCUGCACGUGGAUAAUGGCAGCAGGAGUUACAAGAACUCGCUGAAGAGGAGCACCAGCAACUGUUCGGAUACGUCGUACAGCUCGUGCUCCUCGAAGAAGUCAAACAGUUCAACCGGAAGCAUCAAAACGCCGAGUUUCCACCGAAAAUACGGAGUGGCCAAAUGAACAGUUCCAAAAUUGGGUUUUUUGGAAUUUUUGACCGGACGCUUGAGGCAGCGAGAUAAAGAGUUGGCUUCUUGGAAAGAUCUGCUCAUUCUGCCACUGAUGCACUCAUGGACCAAAAAGGCUGAAGAUUCAUCUGCGACUAGACUGUGGAACUUUUAUUUAUUCAUCUAAUUUAUUGUAUUUAUUCUAUUUAUCUCCAAAUAUAUUUAUUGAUUUUUAA